rnacentral:rRNA from 1 species
UGUCCCUACGGGACGCAGCAGUGGGGGAUAUUGCACAAUGGGGGGAACCCUGAUGCAGCGACGCCGCGUGGGUGAAGGAGCGUUUCGGCGCGUAAAGCCCUAUCGGCAGGGAAGAAGGAGGACGGUACCUGACUAAGAAGCCCCGGCUAACUACGUGCCAGCAGCCGCGGUAAUACGUAGGGGGCAAGCGUUAUCCGGAUUUAUUGGGUGUAAAGGGUGCGUAGACGGGAAAUUAAGUUAGUUGUGAAAUCCCUCGGCUCAACUGAGGAACUGCAACUAAAACUGGUUUUCUUGAGUGUUGGAGG